rnacentral:rRNA from 1 species
AGAGUGAACGCUAGCGGCGUGCUUAACACAUGCAAGUCUAACGGUUCGAGUAGCAAUAUUCGGACGGUGGCAAACGGGUGAGUAAUAUAUAGGAAUCUGCCUAGAAGAGGGGGACAACAUUUGGAAACGAGUGCUAAUACCGCAUAAUACCACUUGUGGGAAAGUCGUAAGACGCUUUUAGAUGAGCCUAUACCUGAUUAGCUAGUUGGUGGGGUAAUGGCCUACCAAGGCUAAGAUCAGUAGCCGAUCUGAGAGGGUGAUCGGCCACACUGGAACUGAGACACGGUCCAGACUCCUACGGGAGGCAGCAGUGGGGAAUAUUGCGCAAUGGGCGAAAGCCUGACGCAGCGACGCCGCGUGGGGGAUGAAGGUCUUAGGAUUGUAAACUCCUGUUAAGUGGGAAGAAAGUCUAUCAGUAAUAUGGGUAGAUUAUGACGGUACCGCUAGAGAAGCACCGGCUAACUUCGUGCCAGCAGCCGCGGUAA